GAACACAGCAAGGGAGAUACUGAAGAAAGCACCUGGAGUUUAUAUAAUAGACGACCGUGCUUCAAAUACUUUCCCUACUCCACUAGAUGUCUCUAACAAAGACGAUGUAGCGGUUGGUAGGAUAAGGCGAGACGUGUCUCAAGAUGGCGAUUUCGGGCUGGACAUAUUCGUUUGCGGAGACCAAAUACGGAAAGGAGCUGCUCUGAAUGCUGUUCAGAUUGCA